rnacentral:piRNA from 1 species
UUCACCUAUGUAACAGUUGAUUAUCUUCUU